rnacentral:rRNA from 1 species
AAGGAAUUGGCGGGGGAGCACUACAACCGGAGGAGCCUGCGGUUUAAUUGGACUCAACGCCGGACAUCUCACCAGCCCCGACAUCAGUAAUGACAGUCAUGUUGACGACAUCCGCUCGAGCUGAUGAGAGGAGGUGCAUGGCCGCCGUCAGCUCGUACCGUGAGGCAUCCUGUUAAGUCAGGCAACGAGCGAGAUCCACGUCCCUAAUUGCCAGCACCAUCGCACGAUGGGUGGGUACAUUAGGGAGACUGCCAGUGCUAAACUGGAGGAAGGAAUGGGCAACGGUAGGUCAGUAUGCCCCGAAUGGGCUGGGCAACACGCGGGCUACAAUGGUCAGGACAACGGGUUCCAACACUGAAAAGUGACGGUAAUCUCGCAAACCUGGUCGUAGUUCGGAUUGCGGGCUGAAACUCGCCCACAUGAAGCUGGAUUCGGUAGUAAUCGCGUGUCAGAAGCGCGCGGUGAAUACGUCCCUGCUCCUUGCACACACCGCCCGUCAAAGCACCCGAGUGAGGUCCGGAUGAGGUCACAUCACUGUGGUCAAAUCUGGGCUUCGCAAGGGGGCUUAAGUCGUAACAAGGUAGCCGUA